UACGGGAGGCAGCAGUGGGGAAUCUUCCGCAAUGGGCGCAAGCCUGACGGAGCAACGCCGCGUGAGUGAAGAAGGUCUUCGGAUCGUAAAGCUCUGUUGUUGGGGACGAAUGGCGCGGGGGCGAACAGUCCUUGCGAAUGACGGUACCCGACGAGGAAGCCACGGCUAACUACGUGCCAGCAGCCGCGGUAAU
rnacentral:rRNA from 1 species